rnacentral:rRNA from 1 species
GACGAACGCUGGCGGCGUGCCUAAUACAUGCAAGUAGAACGCUGAAGGAGGAGCUUGCUUCUCUGGAUGAGUUGCGAACGGGUGAGUAACGCGUAGGUAACCUGCCUGGUAGCGGGGGAUAACUAUUGGAAACGAUAGCUAAUACCGCAUAACAGUAGAUAUCGCAUGAUAGCUGCUUGAAAGGUGCAAUUGCACCACUACCAGAUGGACCUGCGUUGUAUUAGCUAGUUGGUGGGGUAACGGCUCACCAAGGCAACGAUACAUAGCCGACCUGAGAGGGUGAUCGGCCACACUGGGACUGAGACACGGCCCAGACUCCUACGGGAGGCAGCAGUAGGGAAUCUUCGGCAAUGGACGGAAGUCUGACCGAGCAACGCCGCGUGAGUGAAGAAGGUUUUCGGAUCGUAAAGCUCUGUUGUAAGAGAAGAACGAGUGUGAGAGUGGAAAGUUCACACUGUGACGGUAUCUUACCAGAAAGGGACGGCUAACUACGUGCCAGCAGCCGCGGUAAUACGUAGGUCCCGAGCGUUGUCCGGAUUUAUUGGGCGUAAAGCGAGCGCAGGCGGUUAGAUAAGUCUGAAGUUAAAGGCUGUGGCUUAACCAUAGUACGCUUUGGAAACUGUUUAACUUGAGUGCGAGAGGGGAGAGUGGAAUUCCAUGUGUAGCGGUGAAAUGCGUAGAUAUAUGGAGGAACACCGGUGGCGAAAGCGGCUCUCUGGCUUGUAACUGACGCUGAGGCUCGAAAGCGUGGGGAGCAAACAGG